rnacentral:rRNA from 1 species
ACAUGCCUACAACAUAGCGUUAAUGCAACGGAUCCCAUUAGAACUCUGCAGUUAAGCAUGCUCAAGCUAGAGUAGUACUGGGAUGGGUGACCUCCCAGGAAGUCCUACUAUUUUACAUGCC